GGAAGAGAGUUAUGGGUCCAAAUCAAAAUCCAAAUCCAAAUGAGUCAGAUGAGCUGAAGAUUAAGCAAAUCUGAAGAAAGCCCAAUUAUGGUGAGGAAAGGUUUCUGCAAAGUGCAAAGCUCCUCUUUCAUCGGCGUCUUUUCCAUACAUAAACACAAAAUAUAAAUGUUUAAAUCCAAACCAACAACAACAAACGUCAACUCACGCCAUUCUUUUCUCUCUUUCUGAGAAUUUUUUUUUAAUUUUUUAAUUUUCCCAACUAUACAUCAUGAUAUUGUUGUUGUUACUCUACCAAUAAAACCCACACACAAAGACCCAUCUGGUCCUGGUCUACUCUUGCUUCACUUGAAUCACUUCACUUCACUGUUUUUUUCUUGGUGAAGAUGGAUUUUGAUCAGACCCGCUUGGUUGGUGACUAUAUCCUGGGACCCAGAAUCGGCUCAGGUUCUUUUGCCGUCGUUUGGCGCUCCAGGCACCGGCAAUCCGGUAGAGAAGUUGCCGUUAAAGAGAUUGACAGGAAAUUGCUUAGUCCAAAAGUCAGUGAGAAUUUGCUUAAAGAAAUUUCCAUUCUUAGCACUAUCGAUCACCCCAACAUUAUCCGCCUUUUCGAGUCCAUCGAGACGGACGAUAGGAUAUUUCUUGUAUUGGAGUAUUGCGAUGGAGGUGAUCUUGCGGCCUAUAUUCAUCGUCAUGGGAAAGUAUCGGAGGCUGUCGCAAGGCACUUUAUGAGGCAAUUGGCUGCUGGGUUGCAAGUGCUUCAAGAAAAACAUCUCAUUCACAGGGACUUGAAACCACAGAACCUACUUUUGUCAUCAAAUGAAGCAACUCCACAAUUGAAGAUAGCGGAUUUUGGAUUUGCCAGGUCCUUGACCCCCCAAGAUUUGGCUGAUACGCUGUGUGGUUCACCAUUGUACAUGGCGCCAGAGAUUAUUCAGAAUCAAAAGUAUGAUGCGAAGGCUGACUUGUGGAGUGUUGGAGCAAUUUUGUUUCAGCUGGUGACGGGCAAGCCACCGUUUGAUGGCAAUAGUCAAUAUCAGCUUUUUCAAAACAUUUUGACAUCCACUGAGCUGCAGUUUCCACAUGGUGCUUUAGAGGAGUUACACCCAGAUUGUGUGGAUCUGUGCAAAAGACUUUUACGCCAAAAUCCAGGUCACAAUUACUAAUAUGCCACAUUCUGUGUGCGUAUAAAUGCACAUGCUAGUUCUAUGUGUUCUCGUGUGGGUGGGUGGGUUUAGUGGUGAUAGUAUAUAAUCCAAGUUACAGAUAGAGGGGUUAGGUUUGGUGUUGUGUGUAUAUUUAAUUCAUUUAUUACAUUGCUAUCAAGAGUUAACUUACAUUGCUAUCAAGAGGCCUCUGUGUAACACUUUGAACUUUGUUUUCAGUCAUGAGAUUAACAUUCAAGGAGUUCUUCAAUCACAAGUUCCUAGGGGAGCCAAGGUGACAUUCUAAAGUUAGAUCAUUUUUUUCUAUAAAAUAUCUAUGGGUGCUUUUAUUCUGUAUCAUGAUUGUUUGGUCCAUUAGCAGUGAGGUAUAUUCAAGCUACUUGGAUUUAUUAAAUAUACAAGAAAUUCUGUAGGUUAAUGGUGGAUCUUUAUUAGUCUUCUUUACUUCAAUAAAUAAAAUCAGUGAUUGGGCAGUUUGAUUCUUCUGUUUCUGAUAAGAGAUUUUGGCUGCAUUGAGAGCAUCCAUUUACUCGGCUAAUAGAAAUUCAAAAUUUAAUUUUUCUGUACAUCACAGUGUAGUGCAUGGAAAAGUUCCUGGCAAUAUGUCUUGCACCAAAAGUGUUCAUGGGUCUAUACCAAAUAUUGCACAUGAUAGAACAAGGAAAUCAGUUGAUGGAAGCCAAUGUUCAUCAUAUCAGCCUGGAGUUGUUGAUUCAUUGGAGUCCAUUGAGAAAGAUUAUGUUCUUGUGAAUUGUCAUUUUGCUUCAAUGGAGAAUCUCUCCUGUUACUCUGAGACAUCCUUGCAAGAUAACUCUGCAACUAGAGUUUCUGUUUGCCCACCAAAGAAGAAUGAUCAAGAUAUAGCAGUUACCAUGCAAACAAAGCAGCAUGUUGCUAGCUCUUUUGGUGGUGCAGAACAUAGUUUAGUCCACAGAUCAGAUCCAUUAGAUACAUCAUGUUCACCAACCAUAUUAAGUGAAGUGAAAGAGCAAUCUAUGCUGCAUCCCUCAAGAAGGCUCCACUUGUUACAUCAGUAUGUACAAGCUGUUGCAGAAGUAGCCCAGGAAAAGGUGAGUUCAGCAUUUUCUAUUUAGCAAUAUCUUUUUCUUUUUGAAAUUAUUUGGUUAAAUCUGUUGAUGUUGCCUAGACUUCACAUAUAAAGUUGAGCCUCUUCAUUUUCUGAAGUGAAGCAGCAUAAAUUCCUGGUGAGAUGAAUUUAUCCCAUUUAAACUGUAUGAAUGCUGCAUAUAUGGAUGGAAGGUUUUUGAAACUUCUUUGUUAACAAAAUGUUCAAUAUAAGUGCUCCAAUGGACUAGUUUUAUUCUUUCCAAAAUGAAUGAGCUACAGCCGAGGGCAGACCUAGUAAUCUCAUCUUUCUAUUGCUGGGUUCAUUUAUUUUAAUUGUCCUUUAUAUCUUAUUUAUGUUUGGAAUUUGAUGGUGUUACAAAAAUCCAACAUCAUGGUCAUUGAGACAAAAGGCGUUUGUGUCAACAAUUAUCUGUAGGCUGUAGCUGAUGUUUCCUGGUCUUAAGAGACCAUUAAUUAAUGUAUGAAACUUUUAAUUGCUAUUACAUGCAGUACAAUGCAGGACUAUUUCUGGAAUCAUUUUCCGUUGAGCUUGUUGUUUUGGCCAUAUGGAAGAAAGCUCUUCAAAUAUUCAGCUCCUGGGUGGCCUCAACUGCAGGAAGUAAAUCGCCUGAAAGCAGUUCGGCUAAUGAAUCUACUUCUGUUCAUGGUGGCAUAAGAGACAAAAUAGAUUUUGGCAGGCCUUCGUCUGCCUGCAAGUGGGCAGAGCAAGAAUUUGUUGCUGCAUAUGAUCGUGCAGAGAAGUCAUCACAUCACAUUCAAGAUAUGGAUGCUGCUGCUGAGAUGCCUGAUGCCAUGGAAAUAAUAUUCCAGAAGGCUCUAGCUGUUGGGACGAGUGGUGCUGUAGACGAGUAUAUGGAGAACAAGGGUAGUGCAAAAAUCUCAUACUCCAAAGCAAUGGUUCUACUUUCUUUUAUUGUAGAAGAAGCAGCUUCUCUACCUCUGAAACCUCCAUUUAUACUGACUCCUACCAAUGAGAAAAGAAUACAAAGCUACAUAAUCAACUUGCAGUCCCAUCAGUCUCACUUCUAAUAAAGCAGCCGUUCUAUACAACUCCCCUGAAUCCCAUACCAAAUUUACAAAUGGUGUACAGGUAUUUUUAGAAACGACCUUCAUCAAUUACUGGUACAGCCUGGAACUCAAGGUCAGAUUUGACAUGCAAUUUUGAACUUUGCAUGCUGAAGUGGACACAAAGUAAUUGGUUGACAUGACUAGGGAAAUGCUGUGGCGUGUACUGGAUGUAUAGAAUUGUACAUGUCUGACUCUUGGCAUCCAGUGCGAGAUGGCAUCCGUUUAAAGGAUUUUUUUUUUCUUUUUCUAAAUAAACUGUAAAGAACCGUAACUCUGAAUGCUCUGUAACUUAUAAAAACUUUUUCUAUGGCAAGAAAAAAUGUAGUAAAUGUCCAUAUGAUUUUUCCCACCCUUCUACCUCAAAUGCUAUGUUAUGCUUGUAGCAAUGAGGCUUUUAUGUCCAUAUGCCUCGUGGUAACAAGUGGAAAGCUCAAGUGUCUGAAAACAAGAUGAUGGUUAAAAACUAUAAUAUCCAACUUUUUCUCUCCUCAAGUUCCAUAAGCACCUGCAUCUAGCACAUGAUACAACAAUCAAAAGAAGACGCUUGAUGGCAAGGUUAAUCUACAUUUCUCAUAGCAUCAGCACUAGUCCCCACCAAGCCUCUGUUUGACAUGAGAGUAGGGAAUACGGAUGUAAAUAAACACUGCCUUUGGAUGAAAGGGGCCAUAUCAGGGCCUAUUCAAUAGUUGAUGGUUUCUUAUCUAAGUCUAUUCCACGGAGUUUUUUAGCUGCAGUUGCAUGGUUCAAGAAAGUAAAUGAGCAAAUGUAGAUACAUAUGGUACACACUUUGCACGAAAAAGUCUUCGUGAUCUGCAGGUAUUCUAAUUUAGAUAAAGGGGGGAAAUAAUAAAUUACAUGCAGAAACAAAGAUUUCUUUGUUUAAGCAUGCAAUAUCAAAUUGAAGCUUCCCCAUCAAUACGUAUCCUCUUGGAGCCUUUCUCCUCAUAUUGGCUGCCGAUGGCGACAACCCUGUUUUCCUUGGCCUCCACUGAACAUCUUUUGUAGGGUUUAAAUCCUGUUCGACGAGCCUUUAGCUUUCCAUGUCCAAGCCCGAUAGUCAGCAGCCCAUCCUCUCCACUGUACUCACAUCUAGGCAAUGCAUUUUUCUCCACUUCAUGAUGGCUAGUACAGGAUCCCCUUAUCUUGCUGGUAAGAUUCAAAAGUGAUGCAUUUCCAUCUUUCUCAUCUGUGUUUUGCUUGUCUUCAACAUUAUCCUUCUGGUGUGCCUCACCCUUCAGAUCAUGUGGUGGAGAGAAGCUUUGUGGCAAUACCUCCCUGGAGAAGAGAGCUUGAAAAGCCAUUCGUCCCUCUUCAGAGACCUCCUUCCAUGAAUCACUCAUGUUGCU
rnacentral:misc_RNA from 1 species